GUUUUGGUAGUUUAAAAUUAGAACGCAGCUUUGAAGCAGCUGAGGUGGUUUUAUUCCCUAAAAUA
rnacentral:tRNA from 1 species